rnacentral:rRNA from 1 species
UGCAAGUCGAGCGGUAGCACAGAGAGCUUGCUCUCGGGUGACGAGCGGCGGACGGGUGAGUAAUGUCUGGGAAACUGCCUGAUGGAGGGGGAUAACUACUGGAAACGGUAGCUAAUACCGCAUAACGUCGCAAGACCAAAGUGGGGGACCUUCGGGCCUCAUGCCAUCAGAUGUGCCCAGAUGGGAUUAGCUAGUAGGUGGGGUAACGGCUCACCUAGGCGACGAUCCCUAGCUGGUCUGAGAGGAUGACCAGCCACACUGGAACUGAGACACGGUCCAGACUCCUACGGGAGGCAGCAGUGGGGAAUAUUGCACAAUGGGCGCAAGCCUGAUGCAGCCAUGCCGCGUGUGUGAAGAAGGCCUUCGGGUUGUAAAGCACUUUCAGCGGGGAGGAAGGCGUUAAGGUUAAUAACCUUGGCGAUUGACGUUACCCGCAGAAGAAGCACCGGCUAACUCCGUGCCAGCAGCCGCGGUAAUACGGAGGGUGCAAGCGUUAAUCGGAAUUACUGGGCGUAAAGCGCACGCAGGCGGUCUGUCAAGUCGGAUGUGAAAUCCCCGGGCUCAACCUGGGAACUGCAUUCGAAACUGGCAGGCUAGAGUCUUGUAGAGGGGGGUAGAAUUCCAGGUGUAGCGGUGAAAUGCGUAGAGAUCUGGAGGAAUACCGGUGGCGAAGGCGGCCCCCUGGACAAAGACUGACGCUCAGGUGCGAAAGCGUGGGGAGCAAACAGGAUUAGAUACCCUGGUAGUCCACGCCGUAAACGAUGUCGAUUUGGAGGUUGUGCCCUUGAGGCGUGGCUUCCGGAGCUAACGCGUUAAAUCGACCGCCUGGGGAGUACGGCCGCAAGGUUAAAACUCAAAUGAAUUGACGGGGGCCCGCACAAGCGGUGGAGCAUGUGGUUUAAUUCGAUGCAACGCGAAGAACCUUACCUGGUCUUGACAUCCACAGAACUUUCCAGAGAUGGAUUGGUGCCUUCGGGAACUGUGAGACAGGUGCUGCAUGGCUGUCGUCAGCUCGUGUUGUGAAAUGUUGGGUUAAGUCCCGCAACGAGCGCAACCCUUAUCCUUUGUUGCCAGCGGUUCGGCCGGGAACUCAAAGGAGACUGCCAGUGAUAAACUGGAGGAAGGUGGGGAUGACGUCAAGUCAUCAUGGCCCUUACGACCAGGGCUACACACGUGCUACAAUGGCAUAUACAAAGAGAAGCGACCUCGCGAGAGCAAGCGGACCUCAUAAAGUAUGUCGUAGUCCGGAUUGGAGUCUGCAACUCGACUCCAUGAAGUCGGAAUCGCUAGUAAUCGUAGAUCAGAAUGCUACGGUGAAUACGUUCCCGGGCCUUGUACACACCGCCCGUCACACCAUGGGAGUGGGUUGCAAAAGAAGUAGGUAGCUUAACCUU